UACAGAGACUGCAAGCGUUAUUCGGAUUCACUGGGCGUAAAGGGUGCGCAGGCGGCCGGGUGUGUCAGAUGUGAAAUCCCGAGGCUCAACCUCGGAACUGCGUCUGAAACUACUCGGCUAGAGUACUGGAGAGGGUAACGGAAUUCACGGUGUAGCAGUGAAAUGCGUAGAUAUCGUGAGGAACACCAGAGGCGAAGGCGGUUACCUGGACAGUUACGGACGCUCAGGCACGAAAGCAUGGGGAGCAAAAGGG
rnacentral:rRNA from 1 species